ACCCUGCAAGCCCAUGGACCACCCCCAGCUUUGGGUCCUGUGUUUUCGGCAAUGCCCUGCUGUGAGCCAGGACUGCAGCAAGUCACAUCUGCAACCUGUGCUGAUGUGGUGUCCAGGCCCCUCCUGUAUCCUGUGUCCCCUGGGGCUCUCGUAGGAGACAGCUGCUACUGAGAGUGGACACUUGGGCUUAAACAUCUUCCACAUGUUGGAUUGCAGAAACUAUCCCUAAGAACACUGGCUGCAGCUCCAUCCUAUUCUACCCGUGGAUGUGACUUCUGCUCUCUCAUUGUCCACCUAUUCAUUCCUGAUUGCUUCAUCCAGGCCCCUGAAAGUUAUCCUUUGCCCUCAGAGGUUCCUACACCAAAAACUACAGUCUCAGAAGAAAACAAGGGGUCAAGACAGAAGAAACCAGGAGUCAAGGAGAGACUGGACUACCUGAGCUAAGCCCAGUUCUCUGCAGUCAUGGCAAUCAAAGAAUGCCAGAAUGGUUUGGGUUGGAAGGGAGCUUAGAAAUCAUCUCCUUCCACCCCCCUCUAAUGAGCAGGGACACCUUCUACCAGAUCAGGCUACUCCUCAUGGAUGUUUUCUCCAAAAGCACAUUCACUGCACUUGGACUUGUAAAAUAUUAAAGAAGAUUUUUUUGCAAAGCUUGACAGGUAUCAAGGAAGAGAACUGACAGCAGGCAAUUUCUCUGGGGAAAAUUCCAGCUAAUCCCAGGAGAAAGUGUACAAAACCUAUAGUACAGAGAGAAAAUAACAGCAUUUCUGGCUGGGGGAGCUUCAUCCAGACCUCAGUUACAAUGACAGAUGUGUCAGGCCUAACUGAUCUUAACCUGUGCAUCAUUCCAGCUGUUUCAGUGCUCUGGCAGGGAGGAGAACAAAGAGACUGUGUUAGGGGAAAGAAAAAAAAUAUAUAAAGGAAAAGAUGGUUUCUGGCCCUGCAGGUGGCCAGCAGGAACUGACAAAGAGAUGCUGGCAGGCAGUGAUGGACCAUCCCUUUGAGCCUCUCCAGGGGAUGCUGUUAUUCUGUGUGUGAUGCAGACCAGUAUUUUCCAGCACCAGGUUGACUCCUUCCUUGACCCUUUGCUUUGGAAUUAAUCCCAAACCUCUUUGUCCCAUUCUCCCUGCUUGGGAACCCAUUCCCCUUUGUGUAUUUGUGAAUUUCUUAAUUUUCCAUGUCACCGUGGUUACAGGCAGUUUAUGCAGAUUUCAUAUGCUAACAGAAUUGUCUCUGAAAUCGGAUAAUCCCUUUCCAUAUUUAAGAGAUGGUGAUCUCCUUGCUAGACCCUGGCUGUGUCAGGCCAAGGUCCCUGUGCUCCUCCAGUCCCCAAAUCCUCCCAGCACUGCUACCAAGCGCUGGAGCUGGAGAUAAUGAUGUGAGUGAGAUCUUAACACUGCCUUGUACGUCCCUGUCUCUGCUGCAAACGCUCUGUCUGCCGCAUUGUGUGCCCGCAUUAGCCACAGACUAUUGGGAAUCAAAUUAGAUUAGAGGAAAAAAGAGAUAUCAACUACCCUUGAUCUCUGAGGUUUGAGACCAAUUGUUUGUGACUAAGAUCUUCACUAAGCCUGAUUUGAGAGGCACAUAUAAUUUGCCUGGAGUGAAACAAAUUAAUGGAAAAGCCUCUCAAAUGAGGUAAAUCCAUUUUGGGGUCUUGGUCAUGGUUGUUAGUCCAUAACUGCCUCUGCUAUCUUUCAGUAUGAUAAACCACACUUUUAGGGCAACACCAGGCUGCUUGAUAAACCUAUAAAUGGAAGGAGUGUUUAAAAAUCUGUAAAAUUUCUGCACUGCUGUGUGUUAAGGGGGAGAAAUGCUCUUUUAAACACUGCACCACAGCACUGCUGGUUUGAAACAUCUACCAUGGUUAAACUGCAAAGUGAACCAGUUUCCAGGAAUUAAAAUAAAAUAAGGUCCAAAUGCAGAAAAGAAAAUUGCGGCCAGACCUGGACAAAUUAAGUGUCAAACCGUUAUGAAUGGAAUUAAAUAUUUUUAAGAGCAAUUUCUUAUCAGCUCAUCAGCUAAGAAUGCAAUUCCCCCCACACAUUAGGAGGUCACACAGUCAAGAGUGUCACCUCUCCUUGGUGACCUUCUAGUAGAGGACAGUGGGAGCACAUGGCUCCACAGAAAAAUAAAGUUAAACCUUUGCAUGAUGUUCUGCAGUGCAUGAACACCCUCUGAUCAAGGAGAUUCCUGCACCACAAGGGCUUUUACAGGGGGAUAAACACAACAAACUGCCUCAGAGAAGUGUCAGAGGAAGUGCUGGAGCAAAAUGUGCCUGACGAGUCCCAAACAGGCAGGUCUAUGUGGGACUCAGACAAGAAUUCCUGAAGAAUCAGAUCAAGCUACAAGCUCCAAUAUGUAACCUGAAAUGGGUGUUGAAAGUGACAUGUGACACUGAACCAUACAGAUUUCUCUGUGGCCACCUAGACAGCUUAUCACCAGUAGGUCUAAGUGUCACACCAAGCAACUGGGGCAAGUGUAGCGAGGAACAGAAGAGACACCUUGAUGAACAGAAUUUAUUAAGAAAAUGCCUGAGAUUUUCUGUAGAGGGGAGUCAGGUCUCUCAGACCUUGGCGAGAUCUUUGAAGUGGUGAAAAGGAAUGUGGAGGACUAUGAGGACAGCACCAAGUCCUUGGAACUCUGUGCCAAGGUACCGCAGAAGAGACUCCUGUGCUAAGGGGCCAUGGCUCGGCCUUGUGGACUGAUGCUGAGCUCAAAGGAGAGAAAACCAGAACUGGGAUGAGAUGUCCAGGUACGUGAUGGGAGAGCUCACCAUCAGGCCCAGGAAUUCUGGCAGAGUCCCAGGCUUGGUAGUAUGUUUGUAACAAUGAAAGGAGAUGGUGAAAGCUGAGGCAGCAAUACAAAUCUAUUGAGAAUGUUUGAAUUUGAAAGGGAAUAUGAAAAGCUGCAAAGAAAGGCAAAAUAAUGAUUGACAGGCAGAUAAAAUGACUCUGAGUCCAUGCCCCAGACACAAAGCCAUUCAGGUGGAAAGGAAACCCAAGCUGAAUGCAAUAAUGGGCUCCAAACUAGAGGCACACAGAGUCUUGCAGCUAUGAAGCUGCCUGAUCAGUACCUUGAAACUGUCCAGUAGCAAAGAGAAAGGAAAUUAAUGAAGUAAAAUAUUGAGAGCAACAGGGAAACUUUGCUACAGCUCCAGUGACCUGAACAGCACAGGCAGUUCUGGCCUUGGCACCAAAACUGGUUUCUUACAACAGAAACGGGGCCAAAGGAGAGAGGCGGGAUGGUGGGAGAAGCAGACCAGGUACAUGAAGAGAGAUGGAAGGGCUGGCAAGAUAGGCUGAGGGAGAAGGAUGCUUUGGAGAUCUGUGCAGUCCUGCCGGGUGUGGGAUGAGGAAGAGCUGUCAGCUGGAAUUGGGAAGGGAUGUGUUUCUGGAGGACGGAUUUGCCAAA